rnacentral:lncRNA from 1 species
GACUUUAUUCCCAUGGUUCUCUCACUAUCUCCCACCUUAAUCUCUGCCCACAGAGGAAGAAGAGAGAGAGAAAAAGAAGAUCGAUAGAUCCUGUUAUGGAGGAAAAUGGGUCAAGAAACUCUCUGACUCUGGAGCAGGUCUCAAGUGAACUAAGAAGAGUUGUCAUAACUUGAUCGCCCUGACUCUGCACUGCUUUCCUAAGAACCAAUCAAUAGUUCAACACAAGAGGGACUUGCCAGAUUCAAGUCAUAACAGUUGUCAAGUACAAAUAUAAGAUUCUUGCUUUUGUAUUGUCAUCUGAGUAAGAAGUAAACCAUGUGCCCC